GACGAACGCUGGCGGCGUGCUUAACACAUGCAGGUCGAACGGUGAAGCGCCUUCCUUUUUGGUGGGUGUGGAUGAGUGGCGAACGGGUGAGUAACACGUGAGUAACCUGCCCCCUUCUUCUGGAUAACCGCAUGAAAGUGUGGCUAAUACGGGAUAUUCUGGGUCUGUCGCAUGAUGGGUCUGGGAAAGAUAUUGUUUCGGUGGGGGAUGGGCUCGCGGCCUAUCAGCUUGUUGGUGGGGUGAUGGCCUACCAAGGCGGUGACGGGUAGCCGGCCUGAGAGGGGGGGCGGGCACCGGGGGGGAAGGGAGCGGCCCCGGCGUGUGGGGGGGGCCGGGGUGGGGAAUGUUGGAAAGGGGGGGGAGGGCUUGUGGCGGCGCCCGCGGGGGGGGAGGGGGGCCCUCGGGGUGGGGACCCUUUUCGGCAGGUGAAGCAGGCGCGCCUGUUUGGUGGGGGGUUGGAGGGUGGGUGAUAAAGAGGCGCCGCCAACUUCGGGC
rnacentral:rRNA from 1 species